CCUACGGGAGACAGCAGUGAGGAAUAUUGAUCAAUGGGCGCUAGCCUGAACCAGCCAAGUAGCGUGAAGGAUGACUGCCCUACGGGUUGUAAACUUCUUUUAUAUGGGAAUAAAGUGCAGUAUGUAUACUGCUUUGCAUGUACCUUAUGAAUAAGGAUCGGCUAACUCCGUGCCAGCAGCCGCGGUAAUACGGAGGAUCCGAGCGUUAUCCGGAUUUAUUGGGUUUAAAGGGAGCGUAGGCGGGUUGUUAAGUCAGUUGUGAAAGUUUGCGGCUCAACCGUAAAAUUGCAGUUGAUACUGGCAGCCUUGAGUACAGUAGAGGUAGGCGGAAUUCGUGGUGUAGCGGUGAAAUGCUUAGAUAUCACGAAGAACUCCGAUUGCGAAGGCAGCCUGCUGGACUGUAACUGACGCUGAUGCUCGAAAGUGUGGGUAUCAAACAGGAUUAGAUACCCGUGUAGUC
rnacentral:rRNA from 1 species